AAAAGAAAAAUGCUGCAAAAAGAAAAACGCUGCAAAAAGAAAAAUGCUGCAAAAAGAAAAACGCUGCAAAAAGAAAAACGCUUGCAAAAAGAAAAAUGCUGCAAAAAGAAAAACGCUGCAAAAAGAAAAACGCUGCAAAAAGAAAAACACUUGCAAAAAGAAAAAUGCUGCAAAAAGAAAAAUGCUGCAAAAAGAAAAACGCUGCAAAAAGAAAAACACUUGCAAAAAGAAAAAUGCUGCAAAAAGAAAAAUGCUGCAAAAAGAAAAACACUUGCAAAAAGAAAAAUGCUGCAAAAAGAAAAAUGCUGCAAAAAGAAAAACGCUGCAAAAAGAAAAACACUUGCAAAAAGAAAAAUGCUGCAAAAAGAAAAACGCUGCAAAAAGAAAAACACUUGCAAAAAGAAAAAUGCUGCAAAAAGAAAAACGCUGCAAAAAGAAAAACGCUGCAAAAGCACACAAAGCACAACGGAAAUAGGAAAAAAGACAACGGAAAUGUUUCUGGGGAGACAAUACCCGGACGGACCAGUUGCACGAACCAAAACAUGCUAACAAGUGCACUGGGAGACACUUCAAAGAAGUGGAGCGGCCAAAGAGUAAACUUUCAAAACUUAUCACACAUUUGAUUUCCAUGUGCGACAACUGCAAGUGUCCAGAGUGAGGACAGACUGAGGGACCCACUGCUGCACAUCAUCUGUGAGGCUUUGCACCCUGAUGAUCCACCUGGACAAACUCAGCAGUGUGUGAGGAAGAGGAGGAGGAAGAGCCAGCAGCAGCUGACAGAUGGAGAGAAUAGACAGACUGUUCCCUGUUUGUGAAGGACUGCUAGAAAAGUUUAAAAUAACUAAUUGUCUGUCCUGAAUCAGUCUUAUUAGGUAAUGUUCAAAUAAUUUUAUCAUCCCAGUGUUUUCAGUGUGGGAGAAAGUACUCAGGGCCUUCAAGUUACACACUAUGAAAGGCAGCAACAAGUUUAAUAUUCAGAAACCUAAAGUAUGUAUCAGCAGCAGAAUGGAGCUAAAAAUAAAUGUUUGUUUCAGUUCUACGAAGCUUUGAGUAUUUUGGAUUAGUAGCACUGCUGUGUUUGUUGCAUCAUAUUGCUGUAAUUGUUUAUAUGCUUUAUAUAUUCUGAGGUAAGUUGAUCUAUAGUGUUACAUCAUAUUCUAUAAGGAUGUUAUGUGUUUGUAGACUUUCUGCCCAGUUUGACCCAUUUAGCAGAAGUCAGCCUGUUUAAGGCUCUGAUAUCUAUUCUGUAUGACUUAAAGCAGUUAUGACAUGGUCUGAUUUUCUCACCCA
ensembl:lncRNA